GUGUGGUUGAUGAGAUUGAAAACUGCCAAUCCAAGACAGGAGGAAAAAAGAUUGUCAUUUCUUUUAAACUCAAAGAUUUGAGUGGGAACAUUGUAACUUGCACGCUGUGGGACACUUACGGAACCAGGUUUUUAAAUUACUAUAAUGACGAUUCAAAAUGUGGAGCAAUAGUCAUUGUUCUAACUCAUGCAAUCAUUAAGGAUUCUCAGGUCUCUAAUGGCUGGAGUGGCUCAAAACUGUUUAUCAAUGACGAUAUUGCUGUUAUCAAUGAAUUCAUGUCAAAG